UGCCAGCAGCCGCGGUAAUACGGAAGGUCCGGGCGUUAUCCGGAUUUAUUGGGUUUAAAGGGAGCGUAGGCCGUGGAUUAAGUGUGUUGUGAAAUGUAGGCGCUCAACGUCUGACUUGCAGCGCAUACUGGUCCACUUGAGUGCGCNCAACGCGGGCGGAAUUUGUCGUGUAGCGGUGAAAUGCUUAGAUAUGACGAAGAACCCCGAUUGCGAAGGCAGCUCGCGGGAGCCNAACUGACGCUGAAGCUCGAAAGUGCGGGUAUCGAACAGGAUUAGAUACCCUGGUAGUCCGCACGGUAAACGAUGGAUGCCCGCUUUUCGGUCAUUAGACCGUGAGGCCAAGUGAAAACAUUAAGCAUCCCACCUGGGGAGUACGCCGGCAACGGUGA
rnacentral:rRNA from 1 species